rnacentral:rRNA from 1 species
UACGUAGGGUGCGAGCGUUAAUCGGAAUUACUGGGCGUAAAGCGUGCGCAGGCGGUUCGUCGUGUCUCGUGUGAAAGCCCCGGGCUCAACCUGGGAAUGGCAUGGGAAACUGGCGAACUGGAGUGUGGCAGAGGGGGGUGGAAUUCCACGUGUAGCAGUGAAAUGCGUAGAGAUGUGGAGGAACACCGAUGGCGAAGGCAGCCCCCUGGGUUAACACUGACGCUCAGGCACGAAAGCGUGGGGAG